CCUUCUACUACAUCUUGAGAAGAAUUUAAAAUUCUUUAUGAUAUUUUCACAUACAGAAAUACAGAACUUAUCAUACACAGUACAGUCUUGCGAAGGUAACUGGAUGGGGAUGGAAGACAAAACAUUUUUUUUAAAAUCUCAGUGAAAGAUGUAAAAAAAAAAGACAAUUAUAUUUUUAAAAAUUAAUUUUAACCCUUUGCCAAGCACAUUUCAUAUAUAUUUAUCGAAUACAUAUUAUUCUGUAAAUCUGUUAAAAUUAUAUAUAGAUAAUUAUAAUUUAUUUUUAGUUUAAUGUAUUCUAUAUCCAUAUAUUAUCUGUAUGAAGAUAUUUAUUUGAUAUAAUUAACAUUUUAAAAUUCUGUUGUAUUUCUUUCUUUUGAUGAGAACUUUAGCAGAUACUAUGUAUCAAGAUAACCCUUAACUCCAUUGUUAAAAUAGUGUUAACUUAUGGGGCAUGUCAUAAGUUGCUACAGAAAUUAUCCUUUGUUUUUUUUGCCAUGCAGAAACAUGUUGCCUUCCUUCCUUUGAUGAAAUUUCAAAAAAAAAAAAAAAGAUCAGCUCUAAGGAUUGUAUAAGCUCUCCGUUUUGUAUCUAUGACUUCACUCCUUUGGGUCUCUCCAGCUGCACCCAGAUGUAAUACUGCUUAUAAGAAAAUCAGAUCCAGUUGUCAUCAUCAUGCCCACGGUAAAAUGCUCACUACGUUGUCAGUUUAAAUUAGUUCUUUUAUCUCAAAUCCCAAUAGUACUACCUUUAAGCUCUUUUCAUCCUGCAUUUUUAUCAUUAUCCAGUUCUGAGUAAACGUCAUGAAAUCUACUGGGACAACAUUUGAGAAACCAUCGUUCCAAAAAGUAGAGAAACAAAUUCCCUACGGAUACAGAAGGGAAACAGAAGUGCUUGCAGCAUCUCAUUUAUUUACCAGUGAGAGGAAGCAAGUGGGUGACUCUACCGGAAAAUCCAGAGAUAUUUGGGAUCUAGUGGGGAGAGAGGACGAUCAAAUAAUCUGAGAAUUAAAACAUCUUCUAAUAAACAUUCUUUUGCUAUAAAACUCUGGAACGGAGGCAACAGGUAUGCAUUUCCAAGAAGUCUAAACUUAUGACUACACUUUAAUUUUGGAAUUGUAUACAGAGCAGAAUACAGAAAGUCCAAUCAUCUCAUACUGUCAAUGCUAUUUCUUCCUAUUCUUGAAGGGCAGUGAUUGGACCUCCCACUGAUUCUAUGUGGUAACCGUAAGCAAGGUCCUUAAAAAGUGAUUUUAUUUUGUAAUUUUUUGGGGGAAGAAAACUAUAGGAUAUAUUGAUCCAAUGUGGGUAAAACCAACCUUUCUUUUGCAAAAGAUCCAAUUGAUCCCAGUGUAUUAAAAAAAAAGAAAAAAACAACUUAAAAACCGUCUUAAUGUCUCAUUCUAAUGUGGCCUCAUUAUACAAAAUCUGUUCUAAGAGUCAGAUUUUUAAUGGUUUUUUAGACCUUUAAUGUAACCCCAGGAUCAGAGUCUGAAAAUAUCUGUGUUUUUAUUAUCAGUACAUUUCCUAAUGUGUUUUGUGUAGCACUUGAUUAAGAAUCAAAGUGCUUGUAAAAGUGGGAAUAUCAUCUCCUACCAGUUGAAUCAGAGCUGAGCUGAUAAGUGUAAAAUUUGGUUUUAAAAUCAAAGGGUCAGGGCCCAGUGGCUCACACCUGUAAUCCUCAGGCUUUGAGAGUCCGAGGUGGGAAGAUCGCUUGAGGUCAGGAGCUCAGCACCAGGCUGGGCAUUAUAGUGAGACCCUGUCUCUACAAAAAAAAUAAAAUUAGUCGGGAGUGGUGGUGUGCCCUUGUAGUCCCAGCUACUCAGGAGGCUGACACGGGAUGAUCGCUUGAGCAUGGGAAUUUGAGGCUGUGGUGAGGUAUGACUGCACUCUAUACUACCACAACAGAACAUGACACUGUCUCUAAAAAUAAAUAAAUAAAAUCAAAGGGACUAGAAAUUUGAUUUUGAAAAUCCACCCAAGUGAAUUUUAUGCCUACUAAAGUUUAAACACUGAUUUUUAUAAACUUAAUGAGAUAUGUACUUUCUUUACCUGUCUACUCAUCAGAUAUCUAUGAUCAACCAAAUACAUUACCAAACUCAAAGAUAAACUUCAAAAUAACAAUGAAAUUGUUUAAGAAUUUGUACUGGCUCCGAGGUCACAUGGGCUCAGCUCUCAUUUUCAAGUCCUCCCUGUAACUCCAGGCAAGUUACUUUACCUCUUUAAGUAUCAGUAUAAGGUAGCUGUAAAAAUUUCAUAGAGAACCUGUACAGAGCACUUGGCACCAGUCAAUGUCAAAUCAGACAAUAAAAAGACUAAUAACAUUUAUUGAAUACUUAAUAUAUGCCAGGCUCUCUCCUAAGUGUUUUAUACAUCUUAACUCAUUUAAACCUUACAGCAAAAUGGUAAUAUGGGUGAAGUUGUACCUACAUUUU
rnacentral:lncRNA from 1 species